UUAAAUAAAAAUCGGUGUUGUCGCUGCCUUUCGUGGUGACGCGUCGGAAUUGAGUCGUCUUAUCUUCGGCUAAGUAACUUAAAAUUUUUAUGAUUUUUGAACGUAUUUAAAUUGCUUACGUACGUUUGAGAUAUCAAAUGUUUUUAUUAGGUUUGGUCAUCCUCAUGAUUCGCGCCUAUAAUUUUUCAUU
rnacentral:misc_RNA from 1 species